UUCGUAGGCGGUGCGGCAAGUCGGAAGUGAAAUCCCUGGGCUUAACUCAGGGGCUGCUCCCGAAACUGCCGUGCUCGAGUGCGGGAGAGGCGAGUGGAAUUGCAGGUGUAGCGGUGAAAUGCGUAGAUAUCUGCAGGAACACCCGUGGCGAAGGCGGCUCGCUGGACCGCAACUGACGCUGAGGAACGAAAGCUAGGGGAGCAAACAGGAUUAGAUACCCUGGUAGUCCUAGCCCCUAAACCAUCAGGACUUGGGGUGCAUCCCGUUCGGGGUGCGUCCCGGAGCUAACGCGUUAAGUCCUGCGCCUGGGGAGUACGGUCGCAAGGCUGAA
rnacentral:rRNA from 1 species